UACGUAGGGUGCGAGCGUUAAUCGGAAUUACUGGGCGUAAAGCGUGCGCAGGCGGUUUUGUAAGCCAGAUGUGAAAUCCCCGGGCUUAACCUGGGAAUGGCAUUUGGGACUGCAAGGCUGGAGUGCGGCAGAGGAGACUGGAAUUCCUGGUGUAGCAGUGAAAUGCGUAGAUAUCAGGAGGAAUACCGAUGGCGAAGGCAGGUCUCUGGGCUGACACUGACGCUCAUGCACGAAAGCGUGGGAGCAA
rnacentral:rRNA from 1 species